CCUACGGGUGGCAGCAGUGAGGAAUAUUGGUCAAUGGACGAGAGUCUGAACCAGCCAAGUAGCGUGAAGGAUGACUGCCCUAUGGGUUGUAAACUUCUUUUAUAUGGGAAUAUAAUGUUCCACGUGUGGGAUUUUGUAUGUACCAUAUGAAUAAGGAUCGGCUAACUCCGUGCCAGCAGCCGCGGUAAUACGGAGGAUCCGAGCGUUAUCCGGAUUUAUUGGGUUUAAAGGGAGCGUAGGUGGAUUGUUAAGUCAGUGGGGAAAGUUUGCGGCUCAAACGUAGAAUUGCCUUUGAAACGGGCAGUCUUGCGUACAGUAGAGGUGUGCUGAAUUCGUGGUGUAGCGGU
rnacentral:rRNA from 1 species